rnacentral:rRNA from 1 species
UACAGAGGGUGCGAGCGUUAAUCGGAAUUACUGGGCGUAAAGCGCGCGUAGGCGGUUUUUCAAGUCGGAUGUGAAAUCCCCAGGCUCAACCUGGGAACUGCAUUCGAGACUGGAUUACUAGAGUAUGGGAGAGGGAAGUGGAAUUUCCGGUGUAGCGGUGAAAUGCGUAGAUAUCGGAAGGAACAUCAGUGGCGAAAGCGACUUCCUGGACCAGAACUGACGAUCAGGCACGAAAGCGUGGGGAGCAAACAGG